rnacentral:rRNA from 1 species
AUUGAACGCUGGCGGCAGGCCUCACACAUGCAAGUCGAACGAGUGGCGGACGGGUGAGUAAUGUCUGGGAAACUGCCUGAUGGAGGGGGAUAACUACUGGAAACGGUAGCUAAUACCGCAUACCAUCAGAUGUGUCCAGAUGGGAUUAGCUAGUUGGUGGGGUAACGGCCAACCAAGGCGACGAUCCCUAGCUGGUCUGAGAGGAUGACCAGACACACUGGAACUGAGACACGGUCCAGACUCCUCAGGGAGGGAGCAGUGGGGAAUAUUGCACAAUGGGCGAAAGCCUGAUGCAGCCAUGCCGCGUGUUUGAAGAAGGCCUUCGGAUUGUAAAGUACUUUCAGCGGGGAGGCGUUACCAGCAGAAUAAGCACCGGCUAACUCCGUGCCAGCAGCCGCGGUAAUAC